rnacentral:rRNA from 1 species
GUGUCUUCGGACGCCGGCAUACGGCUCAGUAACACGNNNNNNCCUACCCUCAGGACUGAGAUAACCCCGGGAAACUGGGGCNAAUAUUAGAUAGAUAAAAGAUACUGGAAUGUUCUUUUAUCCAAAGCUUUUGCGCCUGAGGAUGGGCCUGCGUCCGAUUAGGUUGUUGGUGGGGUAAUGGCCCACCAAGCCUGCGAUCGGUACGGGCAGUGAGAGCUGAAGCCCGGAGUUGGGGACUGAGACAAGGCCCCAGGCCCUACGGGGCGCAGCAGGCGCGAAACCUCUGCAAUGCGGGAAACCGUGACAGGGGGAUCCCAAGUGCUCAUGCAUUGCAUGGGCUGUUCUUUGGUCUAAGUAACCAGAGGAGUAAGGGCUGGGCAAGACCGGUGCCAGCCGCCGCGGUAAUACCGGCAGCUCAAGUGGUAGCCGCGAUUAUUGGGCCUAAAGCGUUCGUAGCCGGAUAAGUAAGUCUUUGGUUAAAUCCUGCGACUUAACCGUGGGAAAUCUAGAGAUACUGCUUGUCUUGAGACCGGGAGAGGUUGGAGGUACUCCCAGGGUAGGGGUGAAAUCCUGU